CCCGAUGUUGUCUCUUUUAUCCCCACCUUUCUUUCAAGAGGAUCUGUAUAUGUCUUGCUAUUUGUUUAACAUAAAUGCUCAUCCCUCUUUCUUAUCAGAAUAGGGAAGGCUUUUUAAAGGACGUCAUGAAGAUAAUUUAUGAAUUUAUGAUUGGUGUCGAACUCGAUUGGGACUGCACGUCAAAUGAGCCGAUCAUGGCCA
rnacentral:lncRNA from 1 species